AACGAACGCUGGCGGCAUGCCUAACACAUGCAAGUCGAACGAGACCUUCGGGUCUAGUGGCGCACGGGUGCGUAACGCGUGGGAACCUGCCCUUAGGUUCGGAAUAACUCCCCGACAGGGGUGCUAAUACCGGAUAAUGUCUUCGGACCAAAGAUUUAUCGCCUUUGGAUGGGCCCGCGUUGGAUUAGCUAGUUGGUAGGGUAAAAGCCUACCAAGGCGACGAUCCAUAGCUGGUCUGAGAGGAUGAUCAGCCACACUGGGACUGAGACACGGCCCAGACUCCUACGGGAGGCAGCAGUGGGGAAUAUUGGACAAUGGGCGAAAGCCUGAUCCAGCAAUGCCGCGUGAGUGAUGAAGGCCUUAGGGUUGUAAAGCUCUUUUACCUGGGAUGAUAAUGACAGUACCGGGAGAAUAAGCUCCGGCUAACUCCGUG
rnacentral:rRNA from 1 species